AACGAACGCUGGCGGCAUGCCUAACACAUGCAAGUCGAACGAGACCUUCGGGUCUAGUGGCGCACGGGUGCGUAACGCGUGGGAACCUGCCCUUAGGUUCGGAAUAACUCCCCGAAAGGGGUGCUAAUACCGGAUAAUGUCUUCGGACCAAAGAUUUAUCGCCUUUGGAUGGGCCCGCGUUGGAUGAGCUAGUUGGUAGGGUAAAAGCCUACCAAGGCGACGAUCCAUAGCUGGUCUGAGAGGAUGAUCAGCCACACUGGGACUGAGACACGGCGCAGACUACUACGGGAGGCAGCAGUGGCGGAUAUUGGACAAUCGGGGGAAUCAUGAACCAGCACUGACGCGUGAGUGAUGAAGGUCUUGGGGUUGUAAAGCUCUUUUACCCCGGAUGAUAAUGACAGUACCGGGAGAAUAAGCUCCGGCUAACUUCGUG
rnacentral:rRNA from 1 species